GACGAACGCUGGCGGCGUGCUUAACACAUGCAAGUCGAACGGAAAGGCCCUGCUUUUGUGGGGUGCUCGAGUGGCGAACGGGUGAGUAACACGUGAGUAACCUGCCCUUGACUUUGGGAUAACUUCAGGAAACUGGGUCUAAUACCGGAUAGGAGCUCCUGCUGCAUGUUGGGGGUUGGAAAGUUUCGGCGGUUGGGGAUGGACUCGCGGCUUAUCAGCUUGUUGGUGGGGUAGUGGCUUACCAAGGCUUUGACGGGUAGCCGGCCUGAGAGGGUGACCGGCCACAUUGGGACUGAGAUACGGCCCAGACUCCUACGGGAGGCAGCAGUGGGGAAUAUUGCACAAUGGGCGGAAGCCUGAGGCAGCAACGCCGCGUGCGGGAUGACGGCCUUCGGGUUGUAAACCGCUUUCGCCUGUGACGAAGCGUGAGUGACGGUAAUGGGUAAAGAAGCACCGGCUAACUACGUG
rnacentral:rRNA from 1 species